UACAGAGGCCCCAAGCGUUACUGAGAAUCACUGGGUUUAAAGGGUGCGUAGGUGGCGCGUUAAGUCCGUUGUGAAAUCCCUGGGCUCCAACCCAGGAAUUGCUUCGGAUACUGGCGUGCUUGAGGCUAGUAGGGGUCACUGGAACUGACGGUGGAGCGGUGAAAUGCGUAGAUAUCGUCAGGAACGCCGAUGGUGAAGACAGGUGACUGGGCUAGUUCUGACACUGAGGCACGAAAGCGUGGGGGAGCGAACGGG
rnacentral:rRNA from 1 species